rnacentral:tRNA from 1 species
CUGCGGCUCAAGCUGGACGAGACCCCCGCCUUCCAGAAGCUGGAGGACGGCACCGCCGCCCACGCCUCCGAGGC